rnacentral:rRNA from 1 species
AGACAGAGGUGGCAAGCGUUGUUCGGAUUUACUGGGCGUAAAGAGUUCGUAGGCGGUUGUGUGUGUCAGAUGUGAAAUCCCAGGGCUUAACCCUGGAAUUGCAUUUGAAACUGCAGGACUUGAGGACAGGAGGGGGAAGUGGAAUUCCCGGUGUAGCGGUGAAAUGCGUAGAUAUCGGGAAGAACACCGGUGGCGAAGGCGGCUUCCUGGACUGUCCCUGACGCUGAGGAACGAAAGCGUGGGUAGCAAACAGGAUUAGAAACCCGUGUAGUCC